rnacentral:rRNA from 1 species
AUGGCCACCUUCGAGCUGUACAGGCGGUCCACCAUUGGCAUGUGCCUCACCGAGACGCUCGACGAGAUGGUCUCCAGCGGCACCCUCAGCCCUGAGCUCGCCAUCCAAGUGCUUGUCCAGUUCGAUAAGUCUAUGACGGACGCACUGGAAACCCAAGUGAAGAGCAAGGUUACUGUCAAGACUUGCGUGCUUCUCAUUGACAUGGUCGUCACUGCAUCUGCAUUCCUCAUGCCUGUCCGUUUCUGGGUACAAGGCCAUCUGCACACCCUGUUGUCUGCUUCAGCUGUAGCUCAGACUGGCCAUCUGCACACCUACAGGUUCUGCGACAACGUGUGGACAUUCAUCCUGACGGACGCGCAGUUCAAGAACGAGGAGACGACCGAGCAGGUGGGCAAGGUGAAGAUCGUGGCCUGCGACUCCAAGCUACUCAGCCAAUAA